CCUACGGGUGGCUGCAGUCGAGAAUCUUCCCCAAUGGACGAAAGUCUGAGGGAGCGACGCCGCGUGAUGGAAGAAGCCCUUCGGGGUGUAAACAUCUUUUCUUGGAGAAUAAGGCAACUGAAUGUACCCAAGGAAUAAGGGGCUGCUAACUUCGUGCCAGCAGCAGCGGUAAUACGAAGGCCCCGAGCGUUAUCCGGAUUUAUUGGGCGUAAAGCGUUCAACGGUGGUAUGGUGUGUCACUGGUUAAAUCUCACGGCUCAACCGUGGGACCGCUGGUGAAACUACCACACUUGAGGACGGGAGAGGUAUGCGGAACUACCGGUGUAGUAGUAAAAUGCGUUAAUAUCGGUAGGAACACCAAUGGCGAAAGCAGCAUACUGGAACGUCUCUGACACUAAAGAACGAAAGCGUGGGUAGCGAAUGGGAUUAGAUACCCGAGU
rnacentral:rRNA from 1 species